AACGAACGCUGGCGGCAUGCCUAACACAUGCAAGUCGAACGAGACCUUCGGGUCUAGUGGCGCACGGGUGCGUAACGCGUGGGAACCUGCCCUUAGGUUCGGAAUAACUCCCCGAAAGGGGUGCUAAUACCGGAUAAUGUCUUCGGACCAAAGAUUUAUCGCCUUUGGAUGGGCCCGCGUUGGAUUAGCUAGUUGGUAGUGUAAAAGCCUACCAACGCGACGAUCCAUAGCUGGUCGGAGAGCAGGACAAGCCACACUGGGGAUGAGACACGGACCAGACCCGGACGGGAGGCAGCGGAGGGGAAUAUUGUGCAAGGGGCGAAAGCCUGGCACAGCCACGCCGCGGGAGUGAUGAAGGGGUUAGGAUUGUAAAGCUCUUUGUCCCGGGAUGAUAAUGACAGUACCGGGAGAAUAAGCACCGGCUAACUCCGUG
rnacentral:rRNA from 1 species